rnacentral:rRNA from 1 species
AUUGAACGCUAGCGGGAUGCCUUACACAUGCAAGUCGAACGGCAGCGCGGACUUCGGUCUGGCGGCGAGUGGCGAACGGGUGAGUAAUAUAUCGGAACGUGCCCAGUAGCGGGGGAUAACUACUCGAAAGAGUAGCUAAUACCGCAUACGCCCUACGGGGGAAAGGGGGGGAUCGCAAGACCUCUCACUAUUGGAGCGGCCGAUAUCGGAUUAGCUAGUUGGUGGGGUAAAGGCCCACCAAGGCGACGAUCCGUAGCUGGUUUGAGAGGACGACCAGCCACACUGGGACUGAGACACGGCCCAGACUCCUACGGGAGGCAGCAGUGGGGAAUUUUGGACAAUGGGGGAAACCCUGAUCCAGCCAUUCCGCGUGUGCGAUGAAGGCCUUCGGGUUGUAAAGCACUUUUGGCAGGAAAGAAAUCGCACAAAUUAAUACUUUGUGUGGAUGACGGUACCUGCAGAAUAAGCACCGGCUAACUACGUGCC